CCUACGGGUGGCAGCAGUAGGGAAUAUUGCUCAAUGGGGGAAACCCUGAAGCAGCCACGCCGCGUGGAGGAUGAAGGUUUUCGGAUUUUAAACUCCUUUUGUUAGAGAAGAUAAUGACGGUAUCUAACGAAUAAGCACCGGCUCACUCCGUGCCAGCAGCCGCGGUAAUACGGAGGGUGCCAGCGUUACUCGGAAUCACUGGGGGUAAAGCGCGCGUAGGCGGGAUAGCAAUUCAGAUGUGAAAUCCUCUGGCUUAACCAUAGAAUUGCAGUUGAAACUGUUAUUCUAGAGUAUGGGAGAGGUAGGUGGAAUUCUGGGUGUAGGGGUAAAAUCCGUAGAUAUCAAGAGGAAUACUCAUUGCGAAGGCGACCUGCUAGAACAUAACUGACGCUGAUGCGCGAAAGCGUGGGGAGCAAACAGGAUUAGAUACCCGAGUAGUC
rnacentral:rRNA from 1 species